rnacentral:rRNA from 1 species
AUGCUGCGGCGGCACAAGGAAUCGGCGUCGGCGUCGGAUUCCACCUUCUACCAGCUGCGCGCCGACUGCGCCCACAACGUCCCGGACACCAAGUUCAAGAUCAAGAUUGGCAAGACGCUGAGCGUACGCAAAUGGCACGCCGCCUUCACGCACCACGGAUCCCUCCACAUCGCCUCUGUUCUAAACCGGAUUCAGAGCGGGGGUGUGCAUCCCGCAAUCAGAGGAGAGGUCUGGGAGUUCCUGCUUGGCUGCUUCGAUCCCGAGAGCACCUUCGAUGACCGCGACCACAUCAGGCAAGCAAGAAGGAUACAGUAUGCCAGAUGGAAGGAACAAUGCAAACACAUGGACCCUCACGUCGGCAGCGGCAAAAUCAUCACCGCCCCCAUCAUAACCGAGGAUGGCGUGCCUAUCAACGACCCUCUGGUUUUACUCGAAGCCACUGCAGCAGACCAGCAACCUGGUUCAACCACCACCACCAGCAAUGCAGAUGAGUCGUCUUCGUCGUCGUCGUCAUCUGCAAACCACCGUCUCACCGAUAAACACACCAUCGAGUGGAAGCUUACGCUACACCAAAUCGGUCUUGAUGUUCUACGCACUGACCGCUCCAUGCUCUUCUACGAGAAGAAAGAGAAUCUCUCCAAGUUAUGGGAUAUUCUAGCUGUAUACGCAUGGAUCGACAAAGAAGUUGGUUACUGCCAAGGAAUGAGUGAUUUAUGCUCACCGAUGAUCGUGCUACUCAAUGACGAAGCAGAUGCGUUUUGGUGCUUUGAGAGACUCAUGCGUAGACUGCGCGGGAAUUUCAGAUGCACACAGCAAUCCGUUGGGGUUGAGAACCAGCUUCAGCACCUUGCCUCUAUCAUUCAGGUGCUGGACCCAAAGUUACAUGACCACCUCGAAAGACUUGGCGGAGGCGACUAUCUCUUUGCAUUCCGUAUGUUCAUGGUAUUGUUUCGCCGUGAACUGUCAUUUGGGGACUCCUUGUACCUUUGGGAGAUGAUGUGGGCUCUAGAAUAUGACCCUGACAUGUUCUCCACCUAUGAAGAGAGCGGGCCUGCAACUGACAGAAGUGCUCAAGGAUAUAAACCAAGAGUAAAAUCAACCCGUCAGUUUGGCAAGUACGAGAGGGCGAAUAUGAAGAGUGCUACUAAUGGUGUUGAUGGGCCUGUCCCUAUUUCUGUUUUCCUGGUUGCUAGUGUAUUGAAAGAGAACAGUCAGAAGCUGUUGCAAGAAGCCCGGGGAUUAGAUGACAUUAUUAGGAUAUUGAACAAUGUUAACGGGAACUUGGAUGCAAAGAAGGCUUGCGCUGGUGCACUGAAACUUCACGCCAAGUACCUUAGAAAGCAGAUGCAGGGAAAGAAAGCCUAA